GAGUUUGAUCGUGGCUCAGAACGAACGCUGGCGGCAGGCUUAACACAUGCAAGUCGAACGGUUGUAGCAAUACAGCAGUGGCAGACGGGUGAGUAACACGUGGGAACCUUCCUAGGGGUACGGAACAACUCAGGGAAACUUGAGCUAAUACCGUAUACGUCCGUAAGGAGAAAGAUUUAUCGCCCUUAGACGGGCCCGCGUCGGAUUAGCUAGUUGGUGGGGUAACGGCCUACCAAGGCGACGAUCCGUAGCUGAUCUUAGAGGAUGAUCAGCCACACUGGGACUGAGACACGGCCCAGACUCCUACGGGAGGCAGCAGUGGGGAAUCUUGGACAAUGGGCGCAAGCCUGAUCCAGCCAUGCCGCGUGAGUGAAGAAGGUCUUCGGAUUGUAAAGCUCUUUUACCAGGGACGAUAAUGACGGUACCUGGAGAAUAAGCCCCGGCAACUUCGUGCCAGCAACCGCUGUAAC
rnacentral:rRNA from 1 species